AAUGCAUCUGUCUGUGAGCCUGAGCUGAUCCCUCCUCAGGAACAGAACUGAUGACAUUUUCUGUUGUUCUUGUUGCAAACAGUUCCACUUGUGGAGUCCCCCAGACCUGGCCACAUCUGGAUAUAGUUAUCACUCGUGGUGAUCAGAGAAGCGUUCAGUUGCUCUGGAAGAGCCAGAAUUUCAUAUAAUGCUUCUCCUGAUGUGGAUAAAGCCCGUUGCCUUUGUUCAGCCAUCUUAUCUGUGCAUUACCAAGACUACUGAGGGGGAAAAAAAAACAACUGGGAUUGCAGAUGUGGAACUGGCAGCCAAACUACCACCCACAGAGUGGCUCCACUACCGCUUUGCAGUGUAUGAGGAGGAAUGCUCGUGAUACCUGAAGAAUUUCUUUAUAUGCUGUUGGCACCUAUACUUGAAUUUGGUGUUGAGGGAAAGAUCUGCCUCUUUGACAACAGAACAGCCACAACAAAGCUCUGAUCACAGCAGAAUAUAACCAUAGGAAAAAUCUACAGUGAGUUGUGGGCAUGCUUUGGAGAUAGACAUUUCUGAGAACUAAAAGAUUAGUGUGUCAAAUAAAACUACUACUCUGACAUUUCUCUCUUCUCACUGCUGAGCUAGAAACAUUAUCCUGCCUUUCUUCAUAUAUUAUUUACUAGGCCACAUUUUGGUUUAGAUUCAGCUUUGUAAGAAAUUCAAACUCUUUAUCUGU